rnacentral:lncRNA from 10 species
AUAACCGUCCAGUCUACAGAAUAUCACAGGCUCUACUUUUGUGUCAAUUUAAAAUGAGGAUACAGAAAAUGAAGGCAAAGGGAAACUGUUGACAAUCCUUUGAAGUCAUGAAUAUACAAGAGCAUGAAUAAGAGAAGAAAAGAUGGAAGAUAAAAAGCAGAAGGGUGCUGGAGAUAUAAUGGUGAAUAAUGUUGCAAUAUGCCCAGUCUUCAUGGAAUCAACAGUCCAGUGGGGAAGGCAGAUAAGUGAGCAUAUUCCUUCUACUUACAGAAAAAGUCAACUGUAAAACAGCCUCAGGCAGGUCUUUCAGGAGAUAUUCCAGAAGGCAUUGUUAUCAUACAAAAUGAUAGCUCCAUGAGUAUCAUUUUCCCUGAAGACCAGUGGGACAAGAUGAGGAGAUGGAAGACAGUGAUAUGGAUGAUCCUGAACCUGAGACUGUAUAGGCCUAGGCUAAUGCAUGUGUUUGUGUCUUCGUUUUUAACUAAAAGCUUAAAAAGUAAGAAAAAUAAAAAUAAAACAUUUGAAAAUACAAAAAUCAUAUAGAAUUAAGGACAUAAGAAUAUUUUCGAACAGCUGUACAAUGUAUGUGUGUUUUAAGCUAAAUGUUAUUGCAAAAGAGCCAAAAGUUUUUUUAAAAAGUUUAUAAAAACUUACAAUAAGCUAAGAUUAAUUUAUUAAUGAAGAAAUAAUCUUUGUAUAUAAGUUUAGUGUAGCCUAAGUGUACAGUGUUUAUAAAUCUACAGUAAUGUCCCAGACCUUCACAUUCACUCAUCACUCACUC